rnacentral:rRNA from 1 species
UGUAUUUAUUAGAUAAAAAACCAAUGCCCUUCGGGGCUUUUUGGUGAUUCAUGAUAACUUUACGGAUCGCAUAGCCUUGCGCUGGCGACGGUUCAUUCAAAUUUCUGCCCUAUCAACUUUCGAUGGUAAGGUAUUGGCUUACCAUGGUUUCAACGGGUAACGGGGAAUUAGGGUUCGAUUCCGGAGAGGGAGCCUGAGAAACGGCUACCACAUCCAAGGAAGGCAGCAGGCGCGCAAAUUACCCAAUCCCGACACGGGGAGGUAGUGACAAUAAAUACUGAUACAGGGCUCUUUUGGGUCUUGUAAUUGGAAUGAGUACAAUUUAAACCUCUA